UUUGAAGGAUCAUGUUCGGACAGUCUUUCAGAGAGUCAUCGAAAAGGCGAUGUAGAGGAAGGUGUCGGAUGCCUCCUAAAGAAGUAUGAGAGCUUUGUAGCUCUCGAAGUGUGCAAGUGGGUCGGUGGAGCCAUCGUAUGACUCCAUAUACAGCAUCUUGAGCCGACUCAGAAUCGAUUCAUCGAGAAUUCAUCACGAGAAGGGUGGAUGGGUGCUGAUGCUGAGC
rnacentral:lncRNA from 1 species